GCCAUCCUUUUCUUGGGGUAGUGCUACUGUCCAAUGAAUGAGUAGUGAGAGCAGUACUACUAUUGCCUACACAACAUGCCCGCAUCAACUAGACCUUUGCUUUAAUUUGGUGCAAUUUUUAGAUAA
rnacentral:ncRNA from 1 species